rnacentral:tRNA from 1 species
GCGAGGGUAGCCAAGCCAGGUCAAAGGCGGCAGACUCAAGAUCUGCUGGCGUAGGCCAUCGCCGGUUCAAAUCCGGCCCCUCGCA